UAAUCCUCAAUCCUGAGGGACGUGGCCUC
rnacentral:sRNA from 1 species